rnacentral:rRNA from 1 species
UCAGAUUGCAGGCUGCAACUCGCCUGCAUGAAGUUGGAAUUGCUAGUAAUCGCGAAUCAGAAUGUCGCGGUGAAUACGUUCCCGGGCCUUGUACACACCGCCCGUCCACACCAUGAGAGUCGAUAACACCCGAAGCCUGUGAGCUAACCGUAAGGAGGCAGCAGUCGAAGGUGGGGUUGAUGAUUGGGGUGAAGUCGUAACAAGGUACC